rnacentral:rRNA from 1 species
GACGUAGGGCGCGAGCGUUGUCCGGAUUUAUUGGGCGUAAAGAGCUCGUAGGCGGCUUGUCGCGUCGACCGUGAAAACUUGGGGCUCAACCCCAAGCCUGCGGUCGAUACGGGCAGGCUCGAGUUCGGUAGGGGAGACUGGAAUUCCUGGUGUAGCGGUGAAAUGCGCAGAUAUCAGGAGGAACACCGAUGGCGAAGGCAGGUCUCUGGGCCGAUACUGACGCUGAGGAGCGAAAGCAUGGGGAGCGAACGGG